AUGGCGGUCUGUCGCUCACUGACGUAAGAGCGGUGAGAGGAAAGUCCGGGCAACAUAGAGUAUCAUAUUUCUUAACGAGAAGCCAUCUGUGAGGGUGGAGUAAUGUGACAGAAAACAACCGCCUCUAUGGCAUGCGUGCAGUGGAGGUAAGGGUGAAAAGGCGGGGUAAGAGCCCACCGGGUGCGAUGGUGACAUUGCAUGCCGCACAUCUUAUGAGUUGCAAGGUCAAGUAUAUCGGCAUUUAAGGGUUACUCGUCCAUUGCCGAGGGGUAGACUGCUAAAGCAUGGUGGCAACAUCAUGUUCAGAUAAAUGACAGACCGUGGCAUAAGAGCCGAAAGGUUCUGAGCUACGACAUAACCCGGCUUAUAGCCGUGCUG
rnacentral:RNase_P_RNA from 1 species